ACGUAGGGUGCGAGCGUUAAUCGGAAUUACUGGGCGUAAAGCGUGCGCAGGCGGUUGUGUAAGACAGGUGUGAAAUCCCCGGGCUUAACCUGGGAACUGCGCUUGUGACUGCACGGCUAGAGUACGGCAGAGGGGGGUGGAAUUCCACGUGUAGCAGUGAAAUGCGUAGAUAUGUGGAGGAACACCGAUGGCGAAGGCAGCCCCCUGGGCCGAUACUGACGCUCAUGCACGAAAGCGUGGGGAGCAAACAGGA
rnacentral:rRNA from 1 species